AUGGCACUGUCUCACAUGACCUCUCAGAAAUAUUUGCUUUCUACAGCCCCUCAGAGCAAAGCAGCCUGGAUUUCCCAGUGCCUCAGAUGAGCCGGCUGGAGGAGGACACUUACCACAACAGUUAAACGGGUACCGGAAUACUUUUGGUGCUUUAAAAGAGAUUUUCAUCUGUCGGUUUCCAAACAUACAUCAAUUAAAUCUCAAAACAACCCUCUGAGGCUUCCAAUUCAGAAAUAAGAGAAGCCCUUGCUGGACUCCACAGGUUUCAAGGAAACGGACUUCCAUAAAUGUCCAAUCUGAUUCUUCAGAUGAUACAAUACACAGGGCUUGGAGCGGGAACAAAUCUCAGCGUUUUCCUGAGGAUGAAUGUUCAGUGUCUCAAGAGUUCCAGUCUGUGUCAAUACCAAGGCCACCUCCCCUCUGGGCACUAUGUGGCAUCUGUCCCCCCCCCCCCCCCACACACACACACAUCCAAGAGACACAAACCGGGAGGGCCUGGCUACACAGCGAAGCACUGUAGACUGCAGAGCUGCUACUGAUGGAGAAGACACAAAGGGCAACCGAGAAAUGCUCAACUCAUUCGCUGCGUGGGAUCACACAAGAAUGUCAAGGCUCAAGACCUUUCCCAAAAAGAUUUAUGAUGUGCAACUUAGUGAAUUAUCAUUUCCCAACUUUAUCCCCGGAUAUUAUUUGGGAAAUAAGGCCUUUACAGUUUAUGCAGUUCUGGUUUUCCUGUCCUCACUCACUCUCUAAAAUCUCAGGAGGAAAGCCAGAUGUUUUCCCAACUGUGUCACUCUCCGAAUGGACAGCCUAGGUAAAAAUACAGAGGCUAUGCCUAAGUUAAAUAUUAAAUUUAAGUCUGAACCUAUAUUUAAACCCAUCUCAUCUCCCACCCAGACCUCAAACACCCUACUUCUGAGCCUCUCACGCUCCUGAGGCGGACACGGGGUGGCAGAAGGGUCCCUGGCACGUGCUUGGAGCAGGAUAGGGGACGCCACGGCCAGGAAGCACUUUGGGCAGCGCGCUCUCCGACUCCCAGCAAUCCCCUCUGUGGGAAUAAAGAGGAGGAGCUCAAGGGCUCCGAUAUCCCUCUUCCUCGGCAGCGCUCCCUGCCUUCCAGGCCCACAGCCAGGCUGGGAGGCAGACAGCCAAGCGUUUUACCUCGGCCUUCUGCCCCAUGUCAGGCCCUGGGCAGAGCGGACUUGCCGUGAUGGAGGGGACCUCAGCAGCACAGCUGAGACCUCCCGACUCCCCAAGGCAGCGUGAACGUGACGUUGAUUACCCUGUUUGUUCCGUUUCAGUUAACCUGCUAGUUAACCUGCCUGCAGGAUCAAGACGUUGACUCUUGGCUACUGCCGAAGCAGCGCGGCUGGCGGCAGCCGACAGACACUGCUUCUCAUUCCUUACUCUCUCCCUCUGUUUCCAUGCUGUUCCCAUGCCCCAUGGGAAGGGGCAACCUUUCCGCUUCAAAUCUGUGCAGGCC